rnacentral:lncRNA from 1 species
AAAUCUGCUAUAUUUACAACAUCUAUUUAAAGAGCAUAAUGUUCUGUUAAAUCUUUUUGGUACAGGGAAGCUGGACCACCUGUGAUGGUCCUUGUAACCUGAGAAUCAAGGGAAGGAUUGAAAUGACCUUGCAGUUCUAAGAGCAAGAUGUAGGCAUCUAGCUCCCCCAAGAAUCAAUGGAAAGCAGUAAGCACCUCUACAUUACUUGAGGGGUAUGAGUCCUCUGGAUGGAAAAUGAAGUGUGGAAUGGACCUUGUACCAAGUAAAAUGAACUCAUGCCUGGAUUUAAGGGCAACUGUUCUGGUUUUCCUCUGUUUUAGAGCAUAAUUCUCCUGGAGAAGUCUAGACUCAGCAAAUGGGAAUGUUUCCUGACUGCCAGGCGUGGGUGAGCCCUUGAACAGUGCCCUGGAUAGAUGCACGUCAGGGAGCAAAGUGGGUGUAGAACAUCCACCCUGUACAUGCCAGAGCCUGAUAGAAACAAAUAGGUUCAUAGGAAGGGGCCUGUGAUGCACAUCUACAAAUCUGCCAGGUGGAAUAAGAAGGAAUUGCAGACCACACUGUACUUAGCUCAGAAUAAGAGAAUAAGAUUAACA